CCUACGGGAGGCAGCAGUGGGGAAUAUUGGGCAAUGGACGCAAGUCUGACCCAGCAACGCCGCGUGAAGGAAGAAGGCUUUCGGGUUGUAAACUUCUUUUAAGGGGGAAGAGCAGAAGACGGUACCCCUUGAAUAAGCCACGGCUAACUACGUGCCAGCAGCCGCGGUCAUACGUAGGUGGCAAGCGUUGUCCGGAUUUACUGGGGGUAAAGGGCGUGCAGCCGGAGAGACAAGUCAGAUGUGAAAGCCACGGGCUCAAACCGUGAACUGCAUUUGAAACUGGUUCCCUUGUGUGUCGGAGGGGUAAUCGGAAUUCCUUGUGUAGGGGUGGAAUGCG
rnacentral:rRNA from 1 species